GAUGAACGCUGGCGGCGUGCCUAAUACAUGCAAGUCGAGCGAACAGACGAGGAGCUUGCUCCUCUGACGUUAGCGGCGGACGGGUGAGUAACACGUGGAUAACCUACCUAUAAGACUGGGAUAACUUCGGGAAACCGGAGCUAAUACCGGAUAAGAUAUUGAACCGCAUGGUUCAAUAGUGAAAGACGGUUUUGCUGUCACUGAUAGAUGGAUCCGCGCCGCAUUAGCUAGUUGGUAAGGUAACGGCUUACCAAGGCAACGAUGCGUAGCCGACCUGAGAGGGUGAUCGCCCGCACUGGAGCGUGGCCACGGUCCCGACUCCUGCGAGAGGCACCAGUAUGCUACCUUCCGCAAUGGUCGAGAGCUUUACGGAGCAACCGCGCGCGUGUUGUGACGAUCUUCCGAUCGUAAAACUCUCUUAUGGGUUGUGAACAAAUUUGUAAGUAACUAUGCACGUCUUGACGGUACCUAAUCAGAAAGCCACGGCUAACUACGUG
rnacentral:rRNA from 1 species